CCGACGUGGACAUCCAGUGAGUUCGUCUCCUGGCUCUGUUUUGGUGGCGUAUGGGAGCAUAGCCUUGGGCUAAGACGUACAUUCCCGUUCCACUCCGUCGAAGAAAAAGUUCCGUCCCCGACUUCCCGGUCGGUGAGGACGAACGUCCUGUAUAUUCCUAAACCUUCCCAGAGUCCUUUGGGGCCAUUACUGGGGAGGCAAACCAUGCAGUGCACAUUU